rnacentral:rRNA from 1 species
GACGAACGCUGGCGGCGUGCUUAACACAUGCAAGUCGAACGGAAAGGCCCUGCUUUUGUGGGGUGCUCGAGUGGCGAACGGGUGAGUAACACGUGAGUAACCUGCCCUUGACUUUGGGAUAACUUCAGGAAACUGGGGCUAAUACCGGAUAGGAGCUCCUGCUGCAUGGUGGGGGUUGGAAAGUUUCGGCGGUUGGGGAUGGACUCGCGGCUUAUCAGCUUGUUGGUGGGGUAGUGGCUUACCAAGGCUUUGACGGGUAGCCGGCCUGGGAGGGUGACCGGCCACCUUGGGACUGAGAUACGGCCCAGACUCCUACGGGGGGCAGCAGUGGGGAAUAUUGCACAAUGGGCGGAAGCCUGAUGCAGCAACGCCGCGUGCGGGAUGACGGCCUUCGGGUUGUAAACCGCUUUCGCCUGUGACGAAGCGUGAGUGACGGUAAUGGGUAAAGAAGCACCGGCUAACUACGUG